GACGUAGGGCGCGAGCGUUGUCCGGAUUUAUUGGGCGUAAAGAGCUUGUAGGCGGUUUGUCGCGUCUGCUGUGAAAAUCCGGGGCUCAACCCCGGACUUGCAGUGGGUACGGGCAGACUAGAGUGUGGUAGGGGAGACUGGAAUUCCUGGUGUAGCGGUGAAAUGCGCAGAUAUCAGGAGGAACACCGAUGGCGAAGGCAGGUCUCUGGGCCACUACUGACGCUGAGAAGCGAAAGCAUGGGGAGCGAACAGG
rnacentral:rRNA from 1 species